rnacentral:misc_RNA from 1 species
GAACGCACCUUGCGCUCUCUGGUAUUCCGGAGAGCAUGCCUGUUUGAGUGUCAUGAACUCUUCAACCCACCGGUUCCUUGUUGAACCGAGUUGGUGUUUGGAUUUUGAGUGUUUGCUUUUCAUUAAGCUCAUUCGUAAUACAUUAGCAUCUCAAUUUCGUAAUCGGAUUGACUCAGCGUAAUAGACUAUUCGCUGAGGACACUUUUAUUAGUGGCCGAGAAUGAAAAAGUUAGAAGCUUCCAACCCUUCUAGUCAACUUUAGAUUAGACCUCAGAUCAGGCAGGAUUACCCGCUGAACUUAAG